rnacentral:tRNA from 1 species
GUUACGUUGGCAGAAAAUUGUAUUUGUUUUAGGUACAAAAGAUGUAUUAUAUUUACACGUAAUU